UGGGGAAUUUUGGACAAUGGGCGCAAGCCUGAUCCAGCCAUUCCGCGUGCAGGACGAAGGCCUUCGGGUUGUAAACUGCUUUUGUACGGAACGAAAAGCCCUUCUCUAAUACAGAGGGGCCAUGACGGUACCGUAAGAAUAAGCACCGGCUAACUACGUGCCAGCAGCCGCGGUAAUACGUAGGGUGCAAGCGUUAAUCGGAAUUACUGGGCGUAAAGCGUGCGCAGGCGGUUAUGUAAGACAGAGGUGAAAUCCCCGGGCUCAACCUGGGAACUGCCUUUGUGAGUGCAUGGCUAGAGUACGGUAGAGGGGGAUGGAAUUCCGCGUGUAGCAGUGAAAUGCGGAGAUAUGCGGAGGAACACCGCUGGCGAAGGCAAUCCCAUGGAACUGUACUGACGCUCAUGUACGAAAGCGUGGGGAGCAAACA
rnacentral:rRNA from 1 species